CCUACGGGAGACAGCAGUGGGGAAUAUUGCACAAUGGGGGAAACCCUGAUGCAGCGACGCCGCGUGAGUGAAGAAGUAUUUCGGUACGUAAAGCUCUAUCAGCAGGGAAGAAAAUGACGGUACCUGACUAAGAAGCCCCGGCUAACUACGUGCCAGCAGCCGCGGUAAUACGUAGGGGGCAAGCGUUAUCCGGAUUUACUGGGUUUAAAGGGAGCGUAGACGGCAGCGCAAGUCUGGAGUGAAAUCCCAUGGCUUAACCAUGGAACUGCUUUGGAAACUGUGCAGCUAGAGUGCAGGAGAGGUAAGCGGAAUUCCUAGUGUAGCGGUGAAAUGCGUAGAGAUUAGGAGGAACACCAGUUGCGAAGGCGGCUUACUGGACUGUAACUGACGUUGAGGCUCGAAAGCGUGGGGAGCAAACAGGAUUAGAUACCCUUGUAGUC
rnacentral:rRNA from 1 species